AGAUGGUCUCCCCUGGAGAGUUUGGCAAGCUCCAAUCCUCAGAAAGAGCCUCCAGUGAAAGCAUGGGGCCUGACUAGCAAAGAACUGAAAACUGAGCUCCUCCAGAAGUCCUCUCAAACUUCUGCUACUCUUGUGCCAGAUAGUCUCAAAAUAUCAAGAUGGACUCCUUCCACAAGUGAUCAAGAUUCCAAACACGCUUGUUGUUUUAAAUGCAUUUAAUGAUCAAACACACUCAUAGAUAAGUGAAUCUUUAAAAAUAAAGCAACUUGCUAAAGCAAAAGCAAGAAUAGAGAAUCAUCAGAUUCCUAUUUAUUUAUUUUUUAACUUUUAUCUUUUCUGUUGUUUAUGAUGAUUAAUGACAAAUAAAUCAUCCUCAUUAUCAGCUUCCUUGUCUCUCUGACGGCACUCAGAAAUAUAUUCCAAAACAUGUUCUCUAAGUAACAAAUGCUUGUUUAUUUUUAUGAAUGUAAGUCUAUCAGUUUUUCAGCUAGAAAACUGAACUCAUCUAUCGUUUGUGAAUUGUAAGGUAUUGAAUUAUGAGCCAGGGCCUAAUUUGCAGACCCAAACAUCUACACUAAGCAGCCAGGUGGGCCCAGGGAUGCCAGUACAAUCAGUGCCCACAAGUUAUUAAGAGAGCUCAUUUAACUGUCUGUCUUUGAAAACUGAGCUCCUUCAUUUCUAAUUUAGUUUGGCACCUUUGGAAAAGACAUCUUGGAUCUUUGUUACAACUGAAAAAUAGGUUUGCAUGCUUGGAAUUCAUAUAGACAGCAUAUGUUGCUUCAAUUGUUAUUAAGUCAAAAACAUUACAACACUUUGUCAAUAAUGCUGCAUAAUAUCAAUGAUUAAUUUUGUUGUAAAAAAAAAAAAGUCUUAACUACUGUCCCAUACACGUGUGCUUUUUAAUGCAAGCCCUUAUAGUGUUAAAUUACAGCUACUGAGGUAUAAACUGAAUUGAAUCAAAUUACUGAAUAGAAAUGUUCUCAAAGAGAACACUUGAAUUUGCUAAGCCUAUGCAGUAGAGUUUUUGGAAGGAUUAGACAUUUAUUCUGGUUUGUACUUUUUUUUGUCUUGUGGAGAGCAUAAUCUGCUGUACAAGUAUGCACCUCUUAGAGGCAAUUUAUAAUUAAUAUAAUUGCUUAAUGGGACAUUUCCCUUGACCAUGCUGCUGCCCAAACAUCUUACACUUCAGUGCAUUUUUUUGAAAGGCCACUGGCAUUUCUCAGACAGGAGAGUAAAAAUGUUUCCAACAAACAGAUCCUGCAUCACUAAAGCAGGUCAGUAAGUUGAUCAUGAAAUCCCGAAUCUCAUAUCCUGCAUAUGUUUGAAUUGCUAACAUAUUUUCUAGUUGCCCAGUUCAAAAUGUCUGUUCAGAAGCUAUACUUUUACUGAUAUGAACUCCAGGUAUUGCUUUUAAUCUAUGAUGAAUUGUGAACAGUCCAGUGGCCAUUCUUAGAGUGCUGAGGGAUCACUAAAUAAUACACUUAAUCUAUUGUUAUUACGUAAGCUGUGUUUUCUACUGAUUCUGGGAUGACAUCGCUUUCAAAUACUGAAGAAGCCAACUGAACUGGAAAGUGAAUGGUAUCUCUUAAUUAGAGAUUGAGUUGUUUUCAUAGGAAAAAAAAUCACAUUUCAGUUUCUCACCUUUUCCUUGUUUUGCAAAAUUGUAAUCAAAUGACUCCAAGAGUUUUAUAAAGCUUUUUUUAACAUGUAAAUUAUUUACGACUUUAAGAUUACACAGAACUAUCUGCAAAUCACAUGGAUUUCAGUGACCAUUUCUGUUCUAAACAAAA